CUCACAAGCAGUAUCCCUGGCGGCAAGCUUGGUUAUGUGGCUUGCAACACAGCUCUGCCAAAGCCAGCAUCGUCUUGGGCUUGCUGGGUGAACGUAUAAUGAGACAUAAAUGUGUGGACAGAUGACCAGGGGGUGGCCCUGCAGAUACCCUGAAUCAGCACCUGGGCCAGGAAGCCUGCUGACGAAGCCUGCUCCCUAGUCGAGUGGGCAGUCACAGUUGCUGGUGGAGGCACCUUUGCCAGGUCAUAGCAGUAACGGAUGCAGGCCAUGAUCCAAGACGAAAUCCUCUGUGCAGGCACUGGGCAACCUUUCAUCCUGUCUGCCACCGCAAAAAACUGUGUUGACUUAUGAAACGGCUUGGUCCUGUGGAUGUAGAAGGCAAGCACCCUCCUGAUGUCCAGGGUGUGCAAUUUGCACUCCUCUUCCGAUUUAUAAGCCUUCAGAAAGAAGACAGAAUACCCCAAUCUCUGAAGAUGGAUCUCAGCACGCUGUUCUUCAGGGACCACUCAUGAUUCUGGAAAAAUCUCUGCUGAGGUGGUCAGCUAACUGAUUCUGAACAUUGGCUGAGGCAUAAGUCUGGAUGAAGCAUCUGCCAUGUCCGCCACUGACUGCAAAGAUGUCUUGGCCACCACACUGCCUUCUGCAAUGAAUUCCUGAAGGAUUCUGGCAACUUAUCUGUAAACUUGGACAUAGCAUCCCAGUUCACAAAGUCAUACUUAGAUAAAAACACCUGUUGGUUUGCAAUGGGUAUUUGUAAUGAAGAGGUUGAAUAAACUAUUCUCCCCAUCAAGUCUAACCUCUUAGACUCUUUGUCUUUAGGUGUGGAUUUAUAUCUCCCCUGAGGUAAUCUCUUAUUGGCUGUCAUCACACAAGAGAA